AGCUCCAAUAGCGUAUAUUAAAGUUGUUGUGGUUAAAAAGCUCGUAGUUGGAUCUCAACAGCCUUGAAGCGGUUAACUUUGUAGUUUUACUGCUUUGUAGGCUGUGCUUUUGCUGGAGGUUUAGGGGUGCUCUUGAUCGAGUGUCUCUGGAUGCCAGCAGGUUUACUUUGAAAAAAUUAGAGUGCUCAAAGCAGGCUAAAAAUGCCUGAAUAUUCGUGCAUGGAAUAAUAGAAUAAGAAGUCGAUCCUAAUUUGGUGGUUUUCGGGGCUCCGCAAUAAUGUAAAUAGGGACAGUCGGGGGCAUUUGUAUUCAAACGACAGAGGUGAAAUUCUUGGACCGUUUGAAGACAAACUACUGCGAAAGCAUUUGCCAAGAAUGUUUUCA
rnacentral:rRNA from 1 species